rnacentral:rRNA from 1 species
UACGAGGGGUGCAAGCGUUGCUCGGAAUUAUUGGGCGUAAAGGGUAGGUAGGUGGUCUCAUUUGUCUGGGGUGAAAUCCUUGAGCUUAACUCAAGAAGUGCCCCAGAAACGGUGAGACUUGAGUACUGGAGAGGGUCGUGGAAUUCCCGGUGUAGCGGUGAAAUGCGUAGAGAUCGGGAGGAACACCAGCGGCGAAAGCACUCUGCUGGGCCGACACUGACACUGAGAGACGAAAGCUAGGGGAGCGAAUGGG